rnacentral:rRNA from 1 species
UCGGGAAUUUUGGGCAAUGGGCGAAAGCCUGACCCAGCAACACCGCGUGAGGGAUGAAGUAUUUCGGUAUGUAAACCUCGAAAGAAUGGGAAGAAUAAAUGACGGUACCAUUUAUAAGCUCCGGCUAACUACGUGCCAGCAGCCGCGGUAAUACGUAGGGAGCAAGCGUUGUUCGGAUUUACUGGGCGUAAAGGGCGCGUAGGCGGCGCGGUAAGUCACUUGUGAAAUCUCUGAGCUUAACUCAGAACGGCCAAGUGAUACUGCUGUGCUAGAGUGUGGAAGAGGCCACCGGAAUUCUUGGUGUAGCGGUGAAAUGCGUAGAUAUCAAGAGGAACACCUGAGGCGAAGGCGGGUUGCUGGGCCGACACUGACGCUGAUGCGCGAAAGCCAGGGGAGCAAACG